UACGGGGGGGAGCAAGCGUUGUUCGGAUUCAUUGGGCGUAAAGGGUGCGUAGGCGGCGCGGUAAGUCGGGUGUGAAAUCUCGGAGCUUAACUCCGAAACUGCAUUCGAUACUGCCGUGCUUGAGGACUGGAGAGGAGACUGGAAUUUACGGUGUAGCGGUGAAAUGCGUAGAUAUCGUAAGGAAGACCAGUGGCGAAGGCGGGUCUCUGGACAGUUCCUGACGCUGAGGCACGAAGGUCAGGGGAGCAAACGGG
rnacentral:rRNA from 1 species